GCUCCCGUCGUCUAGUGGCCCAGGACAACUGGUUCUCAGCCAGUGAACAGGGGUUCGACUCCCCUCGGGAGUACCA
rnacentral:tRNA from 1 species